rnacentral:rRNA from 1 species
UACGUAGGGUGCAAGCGUUAAUCGGAAUUACUGGGCGUAAAGCGUGCGCAGGCGGUUUUGCAAGACAGAUGUGAAAUCCCCGGGCUCAACCUGGGAAUGGCAUUGGAGACUGCACGGCUAGAGUGUGUCAGAGGGGGGUAGAAUUCCACGUGUAGCAGUGAAAUGCGUAGAGAUGUGGAGGAAUACCGAUGGCGAAGGCAGCCCCCUGGGCCAAUACUGACGCUCAUGCACGAAAGCGUGGGGAGCAAACAGG